rfam:Sphingomonas taxi strain ATCC 55669, complete genome.
AGAGCGUGCCUUUCAGGCAUCCUCUCCUAAAAACUUUUACGGCCGGUCGUUUCGAUCGGCCUUUCUUUUUGUCCCGA